GACGAACGCUGGCGGCGUGCUUAACACAUGCAAGUCGAGCGGUAAGGCCCUUUCGGGGGUACACGAGCGGCGAACGGGUGAGUAACACGUGGGUGACCUGCCCUCAGCUCUGGGAUAAGCCUGGGAAACUGGGUCUAAUACUGGAUAUGACUCCACGGUGCAUGUCGUGGGGUGGAAAGCCUUGUGCGGCUGAGGAUGGGCCCGCGGCCUAUCAGCUUGUUGGUGGGGUGAUGGCCUACCAAGGCGACGACGGGUAGCCGGCCUGAGAGGGCGACCGGCCACACUGGGACUGAGAUACGGCCCAGACUCCUACGGGAGGCAGCAGUGGGGAAUCUUGCGCAAUGGCCUAACGGCUGACGCAGCGACGCCGCGUGUGGGAUGAAGCUCUUCGGAGU
rnacentral:rRNA from 1 species